AUUGAACGCUGGCGGCAUGCCUUACACAUGCAUGUCGAACGGUAACGCGGGGCAACCUGGCGACGAGUGGCGAACGGGAGAGUAAAGCAUCGGAACGUGCCCAGUAGUGGGGGAUAGCCCGGCGAAAGCCGGAUUAAUACCGCAUACGACCUGAGGGUGAAAGGGGGGGAUCGCAAGACCUCUCGCUAUUGGAGCGGCCGAUGUCAGAUUAGGUAGUUGGUGGGGUAAAGGCCUACCAAGCCGACGAUCUGUAGCUGGUCUGAGAGGACGACCAGCCACACUGGGACUGAGACACGGCCCAGACUCCUACGGGAGGCAGCAGUGGGGAAUUUUGGACAAUGGGCGCAAGCCUGAUCCAGCCAUGCCGCGUGCGGGAAGAAGGCCUUCGGGUUGUAAACCGCUUUUGUCAGGGAAGAAAUCCUUUGGGUUAAUACCUCGGGGGGAUGACGGUACCUGAAGAAUAAGCACCGGCUAACUACGUGCCAGCAGCCGCAGUAA
rnacentral:rRNA from 1 species